ensembl:snRNA U6 U6 spliceosomal RNA
GUGCUUGCUUCAGCAGCACAUAUACUAAAACUGGGAUGAUACAGAGAUUAACACCGCCCCUGCGCAAAGAUGACACACAAAUUCAUGAAGCGUUCCAUAUUUUA